rnacentral:rRNA from 1 species
CGGGGUGCACCAGGCGCGAAAACUCUACAAUGCAGGCAACUGCGAUAGGGGGACAUCGAGUGGCAUCCACUUUGGGUGCCUGUCCAACCGUCUAAAAAACGGUUGUUAGCAAGGGCCGGGUAAGACCGGUGCCAGCCGCCGCGGUAAUACCGGCGGCUCGAGUGGUGGCCGAUAUUAUUGAGUCUAAAGGGUCCGUAGCCGGCUUUGCAAGUCCCCUGGGAAAUCCAGCGGCUUAACCGUCGGGCUUUCAUGGGAUACUACAUUGCUUGGGACUGGGAGAGGUAGGAGGUACUCGGGGGGUAGGGGUGAAAUCCUGUAAUCCUCCGGGGACCACCGGUGGCGAAGGCGUCCUACCAGAACAGGUCCGACGGUGAGGGACGAAAGCUAGGGGCACGAACCGGAUUAGAUACCCGGGUAGUCCUAGCCGUAAACGAUGCCCGCUAGGUGUCACGACGGUCGUGAAUCGUCGUGGUGCCGUAGGGAAGCCGCGAAGCGGGCCACUUGGGAAGUACGGCCGCAAGGCUGAAACUUAAAGGAAU